rnacentral:rRNA from 1 species
AAAUUGAAGAGUUUGAUCAUGGCUCAGAUUGAACGCUGGCGGCAGGCCUAACACAUGCAAGUCGAACGGUAACAGGAAGCAGCUUGCUGCUUUGCUGACGAGUGGCGGACGGGUGAGUAAUGUCUGGGAAACUGCCUGAUGGAGGGGGAUAACUACUGGAAACGGUGGCUAAUACCGCAUAACGUCGCAAGACCAAAGAGGGGGACCUUCGGGCCUCUUGCCAUCAGAUGUGCCCAGAUGGGAUUAGCUAGUUGGU